AGUAGACUCAACAAUUUAAGAGGAAUUCUAGAAAUUUACUUUUGGGGUUUUGUGAAAGAUCAAAUAAUAAACCCUAAUUUGAAAGAUAAGCCACUUCUUCAAUCAUUGCUUUUAGAUUCGGUAAGAGAAGAUGAUUAUCAAAAUGUUGAAAGUGAAGAAAUGACAUUGCAAAAUCUCCAACCAUAUCCUAAUCUUAAAAAGUUAACGG
rnacentral:misc_RNA from 1 species